rnacentral:rRNA from 1 species
GGUUAAGCGACUAAGCGUACACGGUGGAUGCCCUGGCAGUCAGAGGCGAUGAAGGACGUGCUAAUCUGCGAUAAGCGUCGGUAAGGUGAUAUGAACCGUUAUAACCGGCGAUUUCCGAAUGGGGAAACCCAGUGUGAUUCGUCACACUAUCAUUAACUGAAUCCAUAGGUUAAUGAGGCGAACCGGGGGAACUGAAACAUCUAAGUACCCCGAGGAAAAGAAAUCAACCGAGAUUCCCCCAGUAGCGGCGAGCGAACGGGGAGCAGCCCAGAGCCUGAAUCAGUGUGUGUGUUAGUGGAAGCGUCUGGAAAGGCGCGCGAUACAGGGUGACAGCCCCGUACACAAAAAUGCACAUACUGUGAGCUCGAUGAGUAGGGCGGGACACGUGGUAUCCUGUCUGAAUAUGGGGGGACCAUCCUCCAAGGCUAAAUACUCCUGACUGACCGAUAGUGAACCAGUACCGUGAGGGAAAGGCGAAAAGAACCCCGGCGAGGGGAGUGAAAAAGAACCUGAAACCGUGUACGUACAAGCAGUGGGAGCCUCUUUAUGGGGUGACUGCGUACCUUUUGUAUAAUGGGUCAGCGACUUAUAUUCUGUAGCAAGGUUAACCGAAUAGGGGAGCCGAAGGGAAACCGAGUCUUAACUGGGCGUUAAGUUGCAGGGUAUAGACCCGAAACCCGGUGAUCUAGCCAUGGGCAGGUUGAAGGUUGGGUAACACUAACUGGAGGACCGAACCGACUAAUGUUGAAAAAUUAGCGGAUGACUUGUGGCUGGGGGUGAAAGGCCAAUCAAACCGGGAGAUAGCUGGUUCUCCCCGAAAGCUAUUUAGGUAGCGCCUCGUGAAUUCAUCUCCGGGGGUAGAGCACUGUUUCGGCAAGGGGGUCAUCCCGACUUACCAACCCGAUGCAAACUGCGAAUACCGGAGAAUGUUAUCACGGGAGACACACGGCGGGUGCUAACGUCCGUCGUGAAGAGGGAAACAACCCAGACCGCCAGCUAAGGUCCCAAAGUCAUGGUUAAGUGGGAAACGAUGUGGGAAGGCCCAGACAGCCAGGAUGUUGGCUUAGAAGCAGCCAUCAUUUAAAGAAAGCGUAAUAGCUCACUGGUCGAGUCGGCCUGCGCGGAAGAUGUAACGGGGCUAAACCAUGCACCGAAGCUGCGGCAGCGACACUAUGUGUUGUUGGGUAGGGGAGCGUUCUGUAAGCCUGUGAAGGUGUGCUGUGAGGUAUGCUGGAGGUAUCAGAAGUGCGAAUGCUGACAUAAGUAACGAUAAAGCGGGUGAAAAGCCCGCUCGCCGGAAGACCAAGGGUUCCUGUCCAACGUUAAUCGGGGCAGGGUGAGUCGACCCCUAAGGCGAGGCCGAAAGGCGUAGUCGAUGGGAAACAGGUUAAUAUUCCUGUACUUGGUGUUACUGCGAAGGGGGGACGGAGAAGGCUAUGUUGGCCGGGCGACGGUUGUCCCGGUUUAAGCGUGUAGGCUGGUUUUCCAGGCAAAUCCGGAAAAUCAAGGCUGAGGCGUGAUGACGAGGCACUACGGUGCUGAAGCAACAAAUGCCCUGCUUCCAGGAAAAGCCUCUAAGCAUCAGGUAACAUCAAAUCGUACCCCAAACCGACACAGGUGGUCAGGUAGAGAAUACCAAGGCGCUUGAGAGAACUCGGGUGAAGGAACUAGGCAAAAUGGUGCCGUAACUUCGGGAGAAGGCACGCUGAUACGUAGGUGAAGUCCCUUGCGGAUGGAGCUGAAAUCAGUCGAAGAUACCAGCUGGCUGCAACUGUUUAUUAAAAACACAGCACUGUGCAAACACGAAAGUGGACGUAUACGGUGUGACGCCUGCCCGGUGCCGGAAGGUUAAUUGAUGGGGUUAGCGGUAACGCGAAGCUCUUGAUCGAAGCCCCGGUAAACGGCGGCCGUAACUAUAACGGUCCUAAGGUAGCGAAAUUCCUUGUCGGGUAAGUUCCGACCUGCACGAAUGGCGUAAUGAUGGCCAGGCUGUCUCCACCCGAGACUCAGUGAAAUUGAACUCGCUGUGAAGAUGCAGUGUACCCGCGGCAAGACGGAAAGACCCCGUGAACCUUUACUAUAGCUUGACACUGAACAUUGAGCCUUGAUGUGUAGGAUAGGUGGGAGGCUUUGAAGUGUGGACGCCAGUCUGCAUGGAGCCGACCUUGAAAUACCACCCUUUAAUGUUUGAUGUUCUAACGUUGGCCCCUGAUCGGGGUUGCGGACAGUGUCUGGUGGGUAGUUUGACUGGGGCGGUCUCCUCCUAAAGAGUAACGGAGGAGCACGAAGGUUGGCUAAUCCUGGUCGGACAUCAGGAGGUUAGUGCAAUGGCAUAAGCCAGCUUGACUGCGAGCGUGACGGCGCGAGCAGGUGCGAAAGCAGGUCAUAGUGAUCCGGUGGUUCUGAAUGGAAGGGCCAUCGCUCAACGGAUAAAAGGUACUCCGGGGAUAACAGGCUGAUACCGCCCAAGAGUUCAUAUCGACGGCGGUGUUUGGCACCUCGAUGUCGGCUCAUCACAUCCUGGGGCUGAAGUAGGUCCCAAGGGUAUGGCUGUUCGCCAUUUAAAGUGGUACGCGAGCUGGGUUUAGAACGUCGUGAGACAGUUCGGUCCCUAUCUGCCGUGGGCGCUGGAGAACUGAGGGGGGCUGCUCCUAGUACGAGAGGACCGGAGUGGACGCAUCACUGGUGUUCGGGUUGUCAUGCCAAUGGCACUGCCCGGUAGCUAAAUGCGGAAGAGAUAAGUGCUGAAAGCAUCUAAGCACGAAACUUGCCCCGAGAUGAGUUCUCCCUGACUCCUUGAGAGUCCUGAAGGAACGUUGAAGACGACGACGUUGAUAGGCCGGGUGUGUAAGCGCAGCGAUGCGUUGAGCUAACCGGUACUAAUGAACCGUGAGGCUUAACCUU